GAGGCGGAGCCGAGGCGGGACAGGGCGGGACCUGCUGCCAACGAGCGUGACGUUCCAGACCUAGCUCAGGCUAAGAAGCUAAGCUAACAUGCUCUCAGUAUUAAGCUAACAACCUAUGCUAACAACACAGUCUAUGCUAACAACCCAGCUUGCGGUCACUGCUCCUCGUUCCCGGCAUAUUCUGAAGCAUUAAGAAAAAAGAAGAUGGCAACCUCCUCCACGCCAAACUGCACAACCUUGACUGUAUGGAUAAUCGGAGACAGCUAUGUCCGGCGUGGAGCCCAGAGAGCUACAGAGACCAU